rnacentral:misc_RNA from 1 species
GAUGAAGAACGCAGCGAAAUGCGAUAAGUAAUGUGAAUUGCAGAAUUCAGUGAAUCAUCGAAUCUUUGAACGCACAUUGCGCCCCCUGGUAUUCCGGGGGGCAUGCCUGUUCGAGCGUCAUUUCACCACUCAAGCCUCGCUUGGUAUUGGGCGACGCGGUCCGCCGCGCGCCUCAAAUCGACCGGCUGGGUCUUCCGUCCCCUCAGCGUUGUGGAAACUAUUCGCUAAAGGGUGCCGCGGGAGGUCACGCCGCAAAACAACCCCAUUUCUAAGGUUGACCUCGGAUCAGGUAGGGAUACCCGCUGAACUUAAGCAUAUCAAUAAGCGGAGGA